UAGGAUUUAUUUUAUGGAUUAUUAUUAUUAUUAUUAUUAUUAUUAUUUUAGGACACACGAAGGUGUAUUCACUUGUAAAACUAGUGUCACAUAUUCGCAACACGCAUAUUUAUUUAUUAAUUAUUUAGAUUUUUUUUAACAAGGUAUACUAUUUAAAGUCACGCGUGUCCAACCACCAUCACUACCCCACUUGCUACUCUUGUCGCAGUCUCAGUGUCACUGUUUUAUAUAUUAAAUGUGUACAACAUGUACUAUUACUAGUUUGUUGGGUUAUUUUAUUUAAUAAGGUUCCUUUGGCUCGGAGGCACCAGCCAAUUUUUAUAUUUUAUAAUAUUGUAUUGUAUUGUCGCUCGCUGCGACGGCACACUCGCUAAUUUGAUCUCUAUACGAUUAAUAUGACGUCAAGCGUCAGACCAAUGGUAAUUUGUAUUCGAGAAACGUUUGUUACAGCAAUCGAACGCCAGAGGUGGAUUUUAUGUGCGUCUUUUAUUCUAUCAAUGUCUACACCCCGCCAUAUUUGUCGAGCUACAGCCGGCUUACACGCCCUCUGGAGGUUUUCAUGGAAUUAUACUGCCGCUAGCGCGCGUGGUUAAAUUAAUUAUCCUCUUAUACCCAGACAAUAAAUUGACAAAUAGAGCCGAGCGUUCACAGGCUAAAAUAACAGUUAUUUAAAUAAUCACCCGAUUA